rnacentral:tRNA from 3 species
GCGGAUGUAGUUUAGUGGUAGAACUUCAGCCUUCCAAGCUGACCAUGCGAGUUCGAUUCUCGUCAUCCGCU